GAGACCACAGUUCCCAGCCUCUUUUGCAAUUAGGUUGGAACCAUGAGAUCAUUCUGGCCACUAGAAUGUGGAAAUAAUUUAUGUAUGCUGCUGUGGAUCAGGCCCCUAAAAUUUCUCUUGAACGCCUUGGCUCUCUUUCCUGCCUUCACAAUGUCCACCCAUCUAAGGAUGAAUUUGGAAGUGUAAGAUUCCAAGGAACUCCUUGAUGGAAGAAACAUGGACCUCAGAGUCACUGCUUGGGGGAAAGCUGCUCAACUUGCAUUAGACUUUGCAUGA
rnacentral:lncRNA from 1 species